CUCCAUAUAGCUAGUUCAUGUGCGCUUCUACAAGCUAGCAAAGACGAGUGAGUUUAUCAUGCUAUGGGAAGAAUGGAGAGCCACGAGGAGGAAGAAGAAGAUGCCGAUCGAUCGAAGAGCUCCCUUCGAUCCAAUCCAGGAGGGAAAGUGGUCGGCUGCAGCUGCCGGUUCAUGGAUACCUCUCUGGUGCAGCAAUGGCCGAGAUGCUCACCUGCACUUGCAUGGGUGUGCAUGACCCGGGAGACGAACCGACCAUCAUCUUUCCCUCGUGCUUGGAUUGAAGGGAGCUCCUCUCUCUCUCUCUCUCUUAUUUCCAUAAUUUAUAUAUUGUUUGUAGAUAGUUUAUCUUUCUUUCUAUCUCUUGUUUGCAGAGAUAUACAUGGAGAUGCCAAGCGCAUGGAAGUUUGACAACGGAUAAUUCAGUAUAACUGUGUGUAUAUAUCCGGAUUAUUCAAGACAAGAUUGCGGAUCUGAUGUAUCUUUUAUCGUUUCAAAAAUUUGGACAUAUGUAUAUAUAUAUAUAACCUAUUCCCCUUUUAGACAAGUCUUUGUAAUUUCUUUUUCUUUGGACAUUUUGAUAGCUUUCCUCAAACAUUUUUGCUUGAAGCAACUUACUGAACCAUGCACGAUUUAAUAUAAUUGCAUAAAGCAUUUUGA